rnacentral:rRNA from 1 species
GCGAAAGCGAGUCUGAAUAGGGCGUUUAGUAUUUGGUCGUAGACCCGAAACCAGGUGAUCUACCCUUGGUCAGGUUGAAGUUCAGGUAACACUGAAUGGAGGACCGAACCGACUUACGUUGAAAAGUGAGCGGAUGAACUGAGGGUAGCGGAGAAAUUCCAAUCGAACCUGGAGAUAGCUGGUUCUCUCCGAAAUAGCUUUAGGGCUAGCCUCAAGUGAUGAUUAUUGGAGGUAGAGCACUGUUUGGACGAGGGGCCCCUCUCGGGUUACCGAAUUCAGACAAACUCCGAAUGCCAAUUAAUUUAACUUGGGAGUCAGAACAUGGGUGAUAAGGUCCGUGUUCGAAAGGGAAACAGCCCAGACCACCAGCUAAGGUCCCAAAAUAUAUGUUAAGUGGAAAAGGAUGUGGCGUUGCCCAGACAACUAGGAUGUUGGCUUAGAAGCAGCCAUCAUUUAAAGAGUGCGUAAUAGCUCACUAGUCGAGUGACACUGCGCCGAAAAUGUACCGGGGCUAAACAUAUUACCGAAGCUGUGGAUUGUCCUUUGGACAAUGGUAGGAGAGCGUUCUAAGGGCGUUGAAGCAUGAUCGUAAGGACAUGUGGAGCGCUUAGAAGUGAGAAUGCCGGUGUGAGUAGCGAAAGACGGGUGAGAAUCCCGUCCACCGAUUGACUAAGGUUUCCAGAGGAAGGCUCGUCCGCUCUGGGUUAGUCGGGUCCUAAGCUGAGGCCGACAGGCGUAGGCGAUGGAUAACAGGUUGAUAUUCCUGUACCACCUAUAAUCGUUUUAAUCGAUGGGGGGACGCAGUAGGAUAGGCGAAGCGUGCGAUUGGAUUGCACGUCUAAGCAGUAAGGCUGAGUAUUAGGCAAAUCCGGUACUCGUUAAGGCUGA